rnacentral:lncRNA from 1 species
CUAAUACGGAGACUAUUGAAAACCGUAUAUGUUGAGGCGCUCCUACAUGUUUGGUUUGUGGAGGUGACCACCGCGGGUGGGGAGGGGUACAGUUCCGACAGAGGCACAAGGAGAGGUUUCGGUGACGACAUCUGAAGACAAGUUGCUCCUAGAGGCAUGUUGGACCUUCUGGUGGUUUUUGUUUUGGGCAAAAUUAUGGUUUUGGACAAUUUUGUACCUUGGAGGUUCAGAUUCCUU